UCCCUGGUGGCUUGGAGGGUAAAGCAUCUGCCUUCAAUGCAGGAGACCCAGGUUUGAUCCCUGGAUUGGGAA
rnacentral:tRNA from 1 species